rnacentral:rRNA from 1 species
UACGUAGGGCGCAAGCGUUGUCCGGAAUUAUUGGGCGUAAAGAGCUCGUAGGCGGCUUGUCACGUCGGGUGUGAAAGCCCGGGGCUUAACCCCGGGUCUGCAUUCGAUACGGGCUAGCUAGAGUGUGGUAGGGGAGAUCGGAAUUCCUGGUGUAGCGGUGAAAUGCGCAGAUAUCAGGAGGAACACCUGUGGUGUAGACAGCUUACUGGACCAUUUCUGACGCUGAGACACGAAAGCGUGGGGAGCAAACAGG